UACAGAGGGGGCAAGCGUUGUUCGGAAUUACUGGGCGUAAAGGGCGCGUAGGCGGUUUAGCAAGUCAGAUGUGAAAUCCCGGGGCUUAACUCCGGAAGUGCAUUUGAAACUGCUAGGCUAGAGUGCUGUAGAGGAUGGCGGAAUACCCAGUGGAGAGGUGAAAUUCGUAGAUAUUGGGUGGAACACCGGUGGCGAAGGCGGCCAUCUGGGCAGCAACUGACGCUGAGGCGCGAGAGCGUGGGGGAGCAAACAGG
rnacentral:rRNA from 1 species